CGGGGGGCAGCAGUGGGGAAUAUUGGACAAUGGGCGAAAGCCUGAUCCAGCAAUACCGCGUGAAUGAUGAAGGCCUUAGGGUUGUAAAGUUCUUUUAGUUGGGAAGAUAAUGACGGUACCAACAGAAAAAGCCCCGGCUAACUCCGUGCCAGCAGCCGCGGUAAGACGGAGGGGGCUAGCGUUGUUCGGAAUUACUGGGCGUAAAGGGCGCGUAGGCGGAUUAGUAAGUUGGGAGUGAAAGCCCGGGGCUUAACCUCGGAACUGCUUUCAAAACUGCUAGUCUAGAGUGAAGUAGGGGGUGAUGGAAUUCCUAGUGUAGAGGUGAAAUUCUUAGAUAUUAGGAGGAACACCGGUGGCGAAGGCGGUCACCUGGACUUCAACUGACGCUGAGGCGCGAAAGCGUGGGGAGCAAACAGGAUUAGAUACCCGAGU
rnacentral:rRNA from 1 species